rnacentral:tRNA from 1 species
UAAUGUUUUCCUGGAGUUGAAUA